UACCAGCACCCCGAGUGGUCGGGACGAUUAUUGGGUCUAAAGCAUCCGUAGCCGGUUCUACAAGUCUUCCGUUAAAUCCACCUGCUUAACAGAUGGGCUGCGGAGGAUACUAUAGAGCUAGGAGGCGGGAGAGGCAAGCGGUACUUAGUGGGUAGGGGUAAAAUCCGUUGAUCCAUUGAAGACCACCAGUGGCGAAGGCGGCUUGCCAGAACGCACUCGACGGUGAGGGAUGAAAGCUGGGGGAGCAAACCGG
rnacentral:rRNA from 1 species